rnacentral:rRNA from 1 species
UACGUAGGGGGCAAGCGUUGUCCGGAUUUAUUGGGCGUAAAGAGCGUGUAGGCGGCCAGGUAGGUCUGCUGUGAAAACUCGAGGCUUAACCUCGAGAUGUCGGCGGAAACCAUCUGGCUAGAGUCCGGAAGAGGAGACUGGAAUUUACGGUGUAGCAGUGAAAUGCGUAGAGAUCGUAAGGAAGACCAGUGGCGAAGGCGGGUCUCUGGACAGUUCCUGACACUGAGGCACGAAGGCCAGGGGAGCAAACGGG